UCCUCCCAGCAUAAAAUUGAAAGAUCCCCGAAGAGAGACCCUUACUCAAGUCUUGGGAAAUCACGGACCCCAGACACAGAGAGACCA
rnacentral:pre_miRNA from 14 species